rnacentral:tRNA from 1 species
AGAGAGUUAGUCUAACAAAGACAGUUGAUUUCGACUCAACAAAUCAUAGCCUGACCCUAUGACUCUCUU